UACGUAGGGUGCGAGCGUUGUCCGGAAUUAUUGGGCGUAAAGAGCUCGUAGGCGGUUUGUCGCGUCGGCCGUGAAAACUUGGGGCUUAACCCCAAGCCUGCGGUCGAUACGGGCAGACUUGAGUUCGGCAGGGGAGACUGGAAUUCCUGGUGUAGCGGUGAAAUGCGCAGAUAUCAGGAGGAACACCGGUGGCGAAGGCAGGUCUCUGGGCUGACACUGACGCUCAUGCACGAAAGCGUGGGGAGCAAACAGG
rnacentral:rRNA from 1 species